rnacentral:rRNA from 1 species
CCUACGGGAGGCAGCAGUGGGGAAUAUUGGACAAUGGGCGCAAGCCUGAUCCAGCCAUACCGCGUGUGUGAAGAAGGCCUUUUGGUUGUAAAGCACUUUAAGCGAGGAGGAGGCUCUUGAGGAUAAUACCCUUGAUGAGUGGACGUUACUCGCAGAAUAAGCACCGGCUAACUCUGUGCCAGCAGCCGCGGUAAUACAGAGGGUGCGAGCGUUAAUCGGAAUUACUGGGCGUAAAGCGCGCGUAGGCGGCUUGUUAAGUCGGAUGUGAAAUCCCCGGGCUCAACCUGGGCACUGCAUUCGAUACUGGCAAGCUAGAGUAUGGGAGAGGAAGGUAGAAUUCCAGGUGUAGCGGUGAAAUGCGUAGAGAUCUGGAGGAAUACCGAUGGCGAAGGCAGCCUUCUGGCCUAAUACUGACGCUGAGGUGCGAAAGCAUGGGGAGCAAACAGGAUUAGAUACCCUGGUAGUCCAUGCCGUAAAACGAUGUCAACUAGCCGUUGGGGACCUUGAGUCUUUAGUGGCGCAGCUAACGCGAUAAGUUGACCGCCUGGGGAGUACGGUCGCAAGACUUAAAACUCAAAAGGAAUUGACCGGNAAGACGAGCGAGGCGACACGAGGGAGAGG